ensembl:lncRNA
CUUGUGCCAUUAUGUUGUUGAAAAAAAUGGUCUAUACUUUUAUAAGCGGAAUACAGGAAUACUUCCUAUUGACACCUUGGCAACUGCAUGCAUCAAUAUUUAACAAAUAUAUUUUAACACUGUUGCUUUCAUUAUAUUCACAACUUUCAGGAAGGAAAGAGAUUAUUAGUAAACAUGAAUUUUGUAAAGUGAUUUCAUAAAAAUGCUGGCAAAAAUCUGUGGAAAUACACUGUAAAAUAAGCAGAAAAAGUAUCAAUUUCAGAUCACAAGGAAUGGAAAGAUCUUCAGAAUGUCAAAAAUAGUGAAAUAAUUUAACUAGCUCUGUAAUUUCUAUAAUGCAAUAAACAUAUGCAUUACCUGCUGGGUAGAAACCAUGAAGACUUUUUCCAUUUGAAUUAAGCGAAUUCAAUCCUGUAAUUUCCAUUCUUUGGUGCUCAUUUUCCUUAAAUUAUCUCCUGAAAGAGUUUCUUGGCAAAGAUGCUCCCUGGAACAAUUCACUUUAAAUAAAUGUUGCACACAUUGCAGAAAAAGUAAAUUUCACUUUCAUAAUUGCCCCGUAUUCUCACCAAAAACUAUAGCACAGAAACAGUAAUGCUGCAUAUAACCUAUACACAAGCCUGGAUUUAUGAGUUCCCAGCAGCAAAUAUUUUUGAUUAUUUUCUCACAAGCAACUACAGACUUCCAAUUGGAUAAUGCUGGUGUUUCCAUCACUGCGUAUGCUAAGCUACUCCUCCAGUGCACCAUUUCUUCCUGUGAUGUUCCUAUAGCUGCUUCCAAAGCAUAAACACAUUGCAUCAAAAAAGUCUGGUCUUACAGGAACACCUGGAAGUCUUAACUGGUAUGUAUCUGAGAAAUGAAGGGAGCUCUGGAGUAUCAGUUCAACAGUCUGCACCAUUUCUACCUGGAUUACUUCAUGGGCCUGCACAAGGCAUUGCUAAAAUCUUGAGAUACCUCAUGCAACAUUACAUUGUCCUGAUCUUUGGGAAUAGCUGCACAGGAGGAUCCUUGUAACCUGGAUUACUCAGUGUGGGUAAUUCAUCUCAUCAUGAUGAAUGGGGCUUUGAGCAACCUGGUCUAGUGGGAGGUGGCCCUGCCCAGAGCAGGAGGGGUGGAACUAGAUGAUCUUAAAGGUCACUUCCAACACAAACCAUUCUAUGAUUCUAUGAUUGUGAUAUGGUGACUGAUUGUGUUUUUCUCCAGAGGCCCUCAGAUUUCAGGCUGAAGAACCAAGACAUGACCGAGUGCUCAUGCAGCAAGCAGUUUAAGAAUCUUGUCUUGACACAGGCUCUGAUCCUCAUUGUCCUGAGAGCAGAGGGAUAUCUUCAAGACAGAAUGAAUGAAUGAUGACCAAAUUCACAUGACUUCCACUAAAAUCAUUGCUUACGAGGCUGGCCAGUCGUAUGUCACUGCCCUUCGAUUCUCAGUUAUCUGCAUCUAAAGCUUAUCUAUUGCAGGUUAAAAAGAUUGUUCAUUUUAUUCUAUGCGCUAAGAUGCUUUUCUCCUUGUAUUAGCAAUGCUAUUGAUGAGUAAUUCUUUCAGUAGAUCAUAUAAGGAAAAUAAUGAAAAUCCUGGUAUAAAAUUACUGUAAUUCAAAAUAAACAUAUGCAUAGAAGAUACAGAUUGUAUGUCAAAAUACGUAUAUAUAAUAAUAUUGGAUUUAGAUCUUGGUGCAUUCUGGCAAACUGGCACUAAUUUGAUCAGAGUUCUUCAUUCUGCAUAUCCUUAUUUUAUUUUUUCCCCUAAAAAUAUCUUAUCUGUACUGUUCACCAUCUUUUCUCCCUAAUUCAGUGUAUUUUUUUUUCAGAUACCAAGCAUCAUUAAUAAAAUCUGAAUAUUUUCCAGAUUAUGAACAGAGUAAGGAAAUAAAAAGGGUUUUAGAAACAAUCUUUGCAUUCCAAAUUACACAGUUUCUACUCAUUUUAACCAGUUUUCAUGUUGUAUGAUGUGUUAAGAAAAAAAGAAUUUAUUUUUUUCAGGUAAAACUGUACUAGACACAAAGAAAUACUGCUGUAAAGCAUAAGCGCUGAU